GACGGAGGGUGCUAGCGUUGUUCGGAUUUACUGGGCGGAAAGGGCGCGUAGGCGGCCUGGUCAGUCGGGUGUGAAAGCCCGGGGCUCAACCCCGGAACGGCACCCGAGACGGUCAGGCUGGAGACCGGGAGAGGAGGGUGGAAUAGCCAGUGUAGAGGUGAAAUUCGUAGAUGAUGGCUGGAACACCGGUGGCGAAAGCGGCGCUCUGCCCCGGUUCUGACGCUGAGGCGCGAUAGCGUGGGGAGCAAACAGG
rnacentral:rRNA from 1 species